rnacentral:misc_RNA from 1 species
UUUCUUUCUUCCCACCCUCUCUCUCUUCUCCUUCUUUCCACUUUCCGAGAUAGAGGCUCUAACCUCCAUAAUUGACCAAAAUGGGUAGCUACAUAUUAAAAACAUUACUGUUAAAUUGAAAACAAUUCCUUCACAACAUAUAUGUAGCUCUCUUUUCCCAAUAAUCGAAAUCCCUCUUCUUUCUACUUCACUCUCAAUAGCAAACUCCUUGACUAUUCCAUCCUUUUCUAAAUGCCCAAAUUACUCCUCUUUCUAAUCUCACUUUGUGCUCUCGCCUCCCCGGAGGCGGUGGCGAUGGCUGCGCUACGAGUGCUGAGUCCCUGAGACUGCCUAUAUGAACAUAUACGCCGACAAAAAGUCAGAUAAGGUUGAUAGCAAAGACUCUCUAAAUGGCUCAAUUGCGCCCUCUCCAACAAGCCCCUAGAGUAGCCUUGCAUUAUUAUCGCCUUGGUAAUUUAUUCAACGAAGAGGCAUUAGUACAGGCCUUGAUAGGCAAAAAAUUGCCCAAGGAGUUCAGAUACAUAAAGGGUCUAAAGCAGUGGUGGAUGUACGGUGGUAAAUGGGGUCAAUUCACCCCUCAUUUUUUUGAAAUUACUUUAUGAAUAUAUGUGUUUUUAUAAAUUGAUGCCUCUUAAAUUUAAGUUUUGAAAUCUCUUUUUAUGAAAAAUAUAUUUUUAUGAUGAGAAAUUAAUUGACCUUUCUCAAUUUUUAAUAACUUUCAGGUAUUAAACCUUAUUGAAUAAAAUUAUAAAAAUAUAUUUUGUUAUAUUUUUUAUAUAUUGACCCCAGAAAAAAUAUUUUCUGGAUCUGCAACUGUGAAGACCAAAAGAAAGAGAAGGAUUCUGGCAAGCUUGGAGCUUAAUUCUACAGAUAACACAACGUUAAAAUUAUCACAUAAUUACAAUAAUAGUACAAGUUAGCAAGACUAUUUAUAUAUGUGAAGAUUGGGAAAAUUUAUUCUGGAAGCCUCAUCCAUAAUAUACUAAUUCCUUGGGAAAUAGUGCAUACCCCCUCAUCCAACUAAAAGAAAAGAAAGAGGCUUUGCAGAAACACAUGCAGGAUCACACUUGUUGAUGCUUAAAUUAGUUGUGCUGCUAUCUGCUUAAAAGAGGAAACCAGCGUUCUUGGAAAGAAGACUGGUAAGAAAUCAUGAACAAGAGAAAAACGAGCAGAAACCCAACUCCCCAAGGAGUUCCUCCAGCCCUGUGAAGAGAGUCUUUCUCUGGCAAAGGAAUAAAGUAGGAAAGCCUUCUGCUUUCAUCAUUAGAAAGCCAGUGAACGACCAGCAAAAGUAGCAGUGGGGACACCAUCAGAACCAGCUUCACUUGAUCGAACAUGCUCUCUAGCACUGGUUCGUAGUUCAUGUACCACGAGAAACCUAUCAGCAUGAGCAGUAUCAGAAGGAAGAAGCAAAGGUGCACAGGCAAAGGAGGCUGAGACUGUGGGGAUGAAUAAUUACCAUUUGCCAUUUUCUUGAAUGUCUUGGGACCCAAAAGGAAGUGUUAGAGAUAUAUUAUGAAGAGAAGGAAGGCUUGUGGGUUAUAUAGAGAGGUGAUUACUGAUAAUGGCUUAUGAUUGUGUAUGUUUGCAUAAUUAAGGAAAGGGUGAGCUUUACUUGGAAAAUAAAGAUUCUUCUGUUUUUUUCAAUCGAGCAGGCGGUGGGAUAGUCGCAGGGGGACGGUGAGAGAGAGAGAGAGAGAUAGCGUGAGGAGAGAAUUGGGUGCGGUGGGAUGCACCACAGUGCGGUGCGGGUGGCGCAUAUGGGGAUUAAACGGUGGCGUAUUGUCACUCCAGCUGGGCCAGCUCGCAUUUAUGUUUCCUUGUGCUCCAACGACUGAACCCAAAACAAACUCCUCUGACUGGUGGUAGCUUCGUUCUUUUCUUUGGGCGACCGACCUUUCUUCUUUAACGUUGAUAGUAUACGACAUAAAUGAUUUACAUCCGUAGCCAUUUGGUUGCCGAGAAAAGCAGGAAAAGCAAAGAAAUUUUGGUUUCUUGUUCACUUUUUAGGACUUCUGAUCACAAGAUUCGAACCUGCACCUUAUUGAUUUUCCUGGUUUUCUCAGGAAUCAAAAUAAAAUAAAAUUAUCCCUUGAAAGUUUCGAUUUUUCUUUUUUAUCUGUCAAAUUAGUUGCUUUCCUAGUUAUUGAGCUUAAAUUGGAAACUUUGCACCAGGCUACACCAUUGAUAGCAGGGAUGGCAAUAGCUGCUGUUGCUUACGCGGGCAGAUAUGGUAUCCAGGCUUGGCAGGCAUUCAAGGCAAGACCUCCAACAGCUAGGAUGGGCAGAUUCUAUGAGGGUGGUUUUCAAACUGUCAUGACGAGGAGGGAAGCAGCUUUAAUACUUGGAAUUAGGUACGGCUUUUCUCAGUAAAUCUAGGUUGUAAAUAAAUUUAUUAAAAAAUUAAAAUACCUUUAAAUUUAGGUUUGAAAAUUUUUGUUUAUAUGCAUGAACAAGCUUGAACGAGCCCAUUCCAAGUCGAGUAUGAUUGUUGUUGAUAUUGCCUGAUAUUUGAUUAGAUCAUUGAUUCCAGUUUCUUUUGAGGUUUGUUUGUUUGUUUUGUUAGCCUAUAACCUGCAACUUUGGGGAUGAUUAUUGUUGGCCAUUUUUCUUUCGUAAAUGUUGCAGAAUAAAAUGCAUAUCAUUUUCCAUAGUUCCACUUGCCUUCAGUCUUUGGUAUUAUUUCAGACAGUUUGCUAAAUUAGAAAUCACAUCAUGUUGAUAUUGCCUUGCUAGUCUCAAGUAGCAUUGGAGAUGAGCAGCACUUAACUUUGAGGCUGUUAGAGAGUGUUUAAGUCAUGUAUGGUUUCCAGGUCCAUAUGAAUCAAAGGAGUGGGCACUAGAAACAUAAAGUAUAUCCUUACUUUCAGGCCUGUAGUCUCUUAAAUGGGCGUGCUUAUCUUGUGAAUUUGGCCAAAACCUGAACACUAGAUAUUCUUGACUCUGGAGAAGGACAUGCCAGUGCUUCAUCCUUGUAACAGGCUGAGCUUCACAGCUCUUUGAAGCUGGAAGGUGAUGUCAUCACUAUUGUUGUUAUCACUGUCACAUUAGCAUUUCUAGUUUAUUGGUAUAUAUAUUGGCUUGGUUAGCUGAUGAACCCAUAGCCAAUAGUGUCAAUGAAUUUAGUGCAAAUGACCUGAGGUCAAGUGCCGCCUUCACCUGCAUUCCUUUUUAGAAAGGUUUUGUUCUUUGCUAGGUUUAUUUAGGUAUAUGGAUAUGGUGAGUGUCUCUGUUCAUAAGGCACGAAUUCAAUAUAAUUUGCGCAAGUCAUAUUGCUAGGAUACUUCUAUUUGUAUUCAUAAAGUUUGAGGCAUGUUCUUCAAGACUUCCAAAUGUGUCUGAACUUUUACACUUCUUUUACUUUGGCAGAGAAAGUACUCGAUCAGAUAAGGUUAAGGAAGCUCAUCGGAGGGUGAUGGUCGCAAACCAUCCAGAUUCAGGUGGUAGCCAUUACCUUGCUUCUAAAAUAAAUGAAGCAAAAGAUGUCUUGCUUGGAAAAGCAAAGGGUAGUGGCUCUGCAUUUUAAUGCCAUUGACUGUGUUUCACCUCACCAAGGCCGCUUGUUUGCAGCAAAUGAGUCAGAAUACACUAAUACUGGAAAAGCUCGAACCAAAUCCUUGAAAAGAAAUAUUACAAUUAGAAAUUGAGGGUCUAUGUUCAAUAGAUUGUUUGAACCCCCAGAUGUAACAGUAAUUGAGUAAGCACCAAUUGUAAUGUUCUCUUUUACACUGUGUAAACUAAAGAGUUUAGGUUCCUUACUGAUUGUAGCUUGGCGAUUUUUCCCCUUCACUGGAAGCAUUUCCAUCCCACCUGUUGUCCUUGGAUUCUGGCAUCAACCUUACGUAUUUUUUGUGGAAAAUGCGAAAAUGAAGUCCUGAAGUUUCUACAGUGUGCCACAGUCUCAUAUGGGCACUUUUCCUUGUGGUUUCCGGACUUCAAUAACCUUUUUCAGUGUUCAGCGCUGAUCAUAUGUAAAACCAUUCUAUUUUCUUUUAGUUUUGAGAUGCUCAUCUGAGCAUGCUGCAACUGCUAACAGCUACACUAAACUAAUUUUACAGUCAUGUUGUGUGGUAAUCAAUCUUUGGAGUGAUAAACUUGUCAAAGGAAAAUUUUCGCUUUUGCAGUAUUUUAGAAUUACCUCUCUACAUUGCAAAGGCUGAAGCUUUGAA